UAGUCUGCAACCCGACUACAUGAAGCUGGAAUCGCUAGUAAUCGCGGAUCAGAAUGCCGCGGUGAAUACGUUCCCGGGUCUUGUACACACCGCCCGUCACACCAUGGGAGCCGGAAACGCCCGAAGCCAGCGGCCCAACCGCGAGGAGGGAGCUGUCGAAGGCGGGUCCGGUGACCGGGGUGAAGUCGUAACAAGGUAUC
rnacentral:rRNA from 1 species